rnacentral:misc_RNA from 1 species
GAACAAAGCAGAAGUGAACAGAUUGAGGCAACUCCAUUUAGCACUACAACAACAGCAGAAAUUGCAAGAACAAAUGACUCUGCCUGUUUGGACACAUGGGUUUGAGCAAAUGAUAAAUCCUAGCUUGGCUCAAUAUAGAACUGAAGAAAUGGAUUUUAUAAACCCAAACACAGCUCAAAAUGGAGACACUGCAAUAGAAAUGGAUAGGCAACACCUAGUAGGAC